GUCCAGCAGCCGCGGUAAUACCGGCAGCCCGAGUGAUGGCCGCUCUUAUUGGGCCUAAAGCGUCCGUAGCCGGCCGCGCAAGUCCAUCGGGAAAUCCACCUGCUCAACAGGUGGGCGCCCGGGGGAAACUGUGCGGCUUGGGACCGGAAGGCGCGACGGGUACGUCCGGGGUAGGAGUGAAAUCCCGUAAUCCUGGACGGACCGCCGAUGGCGAAAGCACGUCGCGAGAACGGAUCCGACAGUGAGGGACGAAAGCCAGAGUCUCGAACCGGAUUAGAAACCCCGGUAGUCC
rnacentral:rRNA from 1 species